GAGUUUGAUCAUGGCUCAGAUUGAACGCUGGCGGCAGGCCUAACACAUGCAAGUCGAGCGGUAGAGAGAAGCUUGCUUCUCUUGAGAGCGGCGGACGGGUGAGUAAUGCCUAGGAAUCUGCCUGGUAGUGGGGGAUAACGCUCGGAAACGGACGCUAAUACCGCAUACGUCCUACGGGAGAAAGCAGGGGACCUUCGGGCCUUGCGCUAUCAGAUGAGCCUAGGUCGGAUUAGCUAGUUGGUGAGGUAAUGGCUCACCAAGGCGACGAUCCGUAACUGGUUUGAGAGGAUGAUCAGUCACACUGGAACUGAGACACGGUCCAGACU
rnacentral:rRNA from 1 species